CACGUAGGGGGCAAGCGUUGUCCGGAAUCAUUGGGCGUAAAGAGCUCGUAGGCGGCUCAGUAAGUCGGGUGUGAAACCUCCAGGCUCAACCUGGAGACGCCACCCGAUACUGCUGUGGCUAGAGUCCAGUAGGGGAGUGUGGAAUUCCCGGUGUAGCGGUGAAAUGCGCAGAUAUCGGGAGGAACACCAGCGGCGAAGGCGGCACUCUGGGCUGGUACUGACGCUGAGGAGCGAAAGCAUGGGGAGCGAACAGG
rnacentral:rRNA from 1 species